UAAAUUGUUCUUGGUUACAUCCCAUGACCGGUUUUAGGCAGUGACUUCAUACUGCUUUUAGGAUUUUCUUGUACACUGGUGAGAAAAUAGGCAGGUCUGAUAGUGGUUUCACUUUUUUUCUACUUCACGUUCCAUAAGAUUCUUUUAUCCAAGCGAUUGUUUUAAAAUUCUACUGUAAGCGUUUGUGGUUCACUUUUUUUUACUUUGCAGCACCCGGGCCUUUUUUUUUUUCUCUAAAUCGGGAGUAAAUAUAGCUGAGUAAAAUUACCUUGGUUAUCUUCCUUCUUUUUAAACUUAAUUGUUUUUAUUAAUAAUUCUAUUUGAAUAUGCAGAAAAAGUGGGUAUGUCCUGUAAUCUAUGCUAGCUUUUCUCGUUUACAGGGUACUCACAAAAUAUGUCUCCCUUAGUGUCCCACAGAAACAUUCUGGGUGAAAUCUGAAUUAAGUGCUAUGAGUCUUGAUAAAUUGGAGAAGUGCCCAAGAGAAAUUCAUCAUCCUGAGAUACAAAAGCUCCUGGUCGGCUAACGAGAGAAUGUCUGCGUGACCUCUGUCAUGGAGCCAUUUCUCCACACUAUACUAUCAAAGUUUAAAGGGAUCAGUGAAUUUUAACUCUGGAGUCCUCUAUGCUAAGGAUGCUCAGCUUACAGAUGAUGAAAUGUUCAGUAAUGUAUUUGCUGCAGCUCUGCUUACCCAAGGUUUGGGUAAAACAAGCUUUGGGUUCCCUCUGUCUCACUGGGAGUUGCCCAAUUCAGUUGCAUCUGGUGAAAUUCACCCUGAGACCUUACAGAACCAGCUCCAACUACGUGAGAGCCAUUUGCAGUUCUCUCCAGACGCCUGGAGAAUGGGCGACGUUUCUGAGGAUCCGGCGAGCGUGCUUCUGUCAAAACUCAGUCUGUGAAAUUCCUGGGGAAAACCCUUCUGUGUCCUGAAGGGUUCAAACUCUGGCGAGGAUCCAGUUAUCAGGUGCUCACCUGGAUGGUUCCAGCUGCCAAAGGGAAAGACUCUCGUAUCCUUGUCGUCGGGCUCGGUGCUGUCCAAAAAGAUACAGAGACUAAAAAAAUCAUAAGAAGCAAAAUAUGACUGCAGGGAAAAGAAGCUGGAGAGAACAGAAGACUCAUCACGGCGGGACAGCGUGAGGACUGAAAGUGUAAGAAGAUGUGGAGGGAAACAGAGAAUCUGACAGGAGCAGCGAACGCACGAGUGCACGAAUUUUGCUUUUUGCUUGGAUGUAAACUCAGGAGUUGAAAGGAAUUUGGGAGUGAGAAGGGACAUUUCAGAAGGAGAAGAAGAAAAAGAAGUUGUUGUUGUUGCUACAGUCCUGGCAAAAGCUUUUGUUCUAGCUAAUAAAAGAAGUUAGUUUAAAAAACAAA